GAUGAACGCUAGCGGCAGGCCUAAUACAUGCAAGUCGGACGGGAUCGGGGAGCUUGCUCCCCGUGAGAGUGGCGCACGGGUGCGUAACACGUAUGUAACCUACCUUUAUCAGGGGGAUAGCCUCUCGAAAGAGAGAUUAACACCGCAUAACAUCACAUGAUAGCAUUAUCGAGUGAUCAAAUAUUCAUAGGAUAAAGAUGGGCAUGCGGGACAUUAGCUAGUUGGGGGGGUAACGGCCCACCAAGGCGACGAUGUCUAGGGGAUCUGAGAGGAUGACCCCCCACACUGGGACUGAGACACGGACCAGACUCCUACGGGAGGCAGCAGUAAGGAAUAUUGGGCAAUGGACGCAAGUCUGAACCAGCCAUGCCGCGUGCAGGAGGACGGCCCUACGGGUUGUAAACUGCUUUUGUACCGGAAUAAACCCUUUUACGUGUAAGAGGCUGAAUGUACGGCAAGAAUAAGGAUCGGCUAACUCCGUGCCAGCAGCCGCCGUAACAC
rnacentral:rRNA from 1 species